CUACGGGGGGUGCAAGCGUUAAUCGGAAUUACUGGGCGUAAAGCGCGCGUAGGCGGUUUGCUCAGUCGGAUGUGAAAGCCCAGGGCUCAACCUUGGAACUGCAUACGAUACUGGCAAACUAGAGUGUGAGAGAGGAUAGUGGAAUUUCCGGUGUAGCGGUGAAAUGCGUAGAUAUCGGAAGGAACAUCAGUGGCGAAGGCGACUGUCUGGCUCAACACUGACGCUGAGGUGCGAAAGCGUGGGUAGCAAACAGGAUUAGAAACCCUUGUAGUCC
rnacentral:rRNA from 1 species